CACCGCCUGGGGAGUACGACCGCAAGGUUAAAACUCAAAUGAAUUGACGGGGACCCGCACAAGUAGUGGAGCAUGUGGUUUAAUUCGAAGAUACGCGCAGAACCUUACCAACACUUGACAUGUUCGUCGCGACUCUAAGAGAUUAGAGUUUUCGGUUCGGCCGGACGAAACACAGGUGCUGCAUGGCUGUCGUCAGCUCGUGUCGUGAGAUGUUGGGUUAAGUCCCGCAACGAGCGCAACCCUCACUUUUAGUUGCCAUCAUUUAGUUGGGCACUCUGAAAGAACUGCCAGUGAUAAGCUGGAGGAAGGUGGGGAUGACGUCAAGUCCUCAUGGCCCUUAUGUGUUGGGCUACACACGUGCUACAAUGGCAUUUACAAUAGGAAGCAAGAUGGCGACAUCAAGCAAAUCCUAAAAAAAUGCCUCAGUUCGGAUUGUACUCUGCAACUCGAGUACAUGAAGCUGGAAUUACUAGUAAUCGUGGAUCAGCGCGCCACGGUGAAUGCGUUCCCGGGUCUUGUACACACCGCCCGUCACACCAUGGGAGUUGGUUCUACCUUAAGGCAAAGUUUAAAACCUUUGACCACGGUAUAGUCAGCGACUGGGGUGAAGUCGUAACAAGGUAGCCGUAGGGGAACCUGCGGCUGGAUUACCUCCUUUCUAAGGAUGAUUAAGGAUUAUUUCUUAAUCUAAAUAAUAUAACAGGUUAAUGUUGACCGUCCUCAUUUCUCUUCUUGAAAAAGUGUUUCUCUUUUCUGCAUAAGGGCCGGUAGCUCAGUUGGUUAGAGCACACCCUUGAUAAGGGUGGGGUCGAAAGUUCGAGUCUUUCUCGGCCCACCAAUUUAACGGGGGAUUAGCUCAGCUGGGAGAGCGCCUGAUUUGCAUUCAGGAGGUCAGCGGUUCGAUCCCGCUAUCCUCCACCAAGAAACACUUAGUUAUUUUUUUUGUGAAUAUUUUUAAUUAUUAUCAAUAUCUAUAUCCGAACAUUAAUUUGUUUAUUAAUGUUCAAACAAAAAUUUGAUUCAACACAGAAUUUUUUUCUG
rnacentral:sRNA from 1 species